UGCACCGGGGCUGGCAGAAGCCGCACGAAACGGCCCCACCCACCUUCUGGCGCCUCUGACCUUCUCCUAAUGGCGUCCUGUGCGCCGCACUCACUUCCGCUUCCGGCCUCAGCCUAGCAGGAGGACGUCACGGCCAAAGUGAUGCACCAGCUCCGCAUCAUCCGGCACUUGCGCCAGAUUCCUGAGACACUGCAGGGGCUGUGCCUCUGAGGCCAUCAGCAACUCCCGCUCCCUGCUGCAGGAGGAGGACGUCACGACCAAAGUGAUGCACCCGCAUCAUCCGCCACUUGCGCCAGGUGCCUGAGACGGUGCAGGGGCUGCGCCUCUCAGGCCUUCAGCAACUCCCGCUCCCUG